AAACUCCCAGAGCAGCACCCACCACACCCUAGGUCGUUAACCAACUCUUUAAACUCCCAGAGCAGCACCCACCACACCCUAGGUCGUUAACCAACUCUUUAAACUCCCAGAGCAGCACCCACCACACCCUAGGUCGUCAACCAACUCUUUAAACUCCCAGAGCAGCACCCACCACACCCUAGGUCGUCAACCAACUCUUUAAACUCCCAGAGCAGCACCCACCACACCCUAGGUCGUCAACCAACUCUUUAAACUCCCAGAGCAGCACCCACCACACCCUAGGUCGUCAACCAACUCUUUAAACUCCCAGAGCAGCACCCACCACACCCUAGGUCGUUAACCAACUCUUUAAACUCCCAGAGCAGCACCCACCACACCCUAGGUCGUCAACCAACUCUUUAAACUCCCAGAGCAGCACCCACCACACCCUAGGUCGUUAACCAACUCUUUAAACUCCCAGAGCAGCACCCACCACACCCUAGGUCGUUAACCAACUCUUUAAACUCCCAGAGCAGCACCCACCACACCCUAGGUCGUUAACCAACUCUUUAAACUCCCAGAGCAGCACCCACCACACCCUAGGUCGUUAACCAACUCUUUAAACUCCCAGAGCAGCACCCACCACACCCUAGGUCGUCAACCAACUCUUUAAACUCCCAGAGCAGCACCCACCACACCCUAGGUCGUUAACCAACUCUUUAAACUCCCAGAGCAGCACCCACCACACCCUAGGUCGUCAACCAACUCUUUAAACUCCCAGAGCAGCACCCACCACACCCUAGGUCGUCAACCAACUCUUUAAACUCCCAGAGCAGCACCCACCACACCCUAGGUCGUUAACAAACUCUUUAAACUCCCAGAGCAGCACCCACCACACCCUAGUUCAUCAACCAACUCUUUAAACUCCCAAAGCAGCACCCACCACACCCUAGGUCGUUAACCAACUCUUUAAACUCCCAGAGCAGCACCCACCACACCCCAGGUGGUUAACCAACUCUUUAAACUCCCA